rnacentral:rRNA from 1 species
CCUACGGGAGGCAGCAGUAAGGAAUAUUGGACAAUGGACGCAAGUCUGAUCCAGCCAUGCCGCGUGAAGGAUUAAGGCCCUCUGGGUUGUAAACUUCUUUUAUAGGGGACGAAAAAAGGGCUUUCUAGCUCGACUGACGGUACCCUAUGAAUAAGCACCGGCUAACUCCGUGCCAGCAGCCGCGGUAAUACGGAGGGUGCAAGCGUUAUCCGGAUUCACUGGGUUUAAAGGGUGCGUAGGCGGGCAUUUAAGUCAGUGGUGAAAUCUUCGAGCUCAACUCGGAAACUGCCAUUGAUACUAUUUGUCUUGAAUAUUGUGGAGGUGAGCGGAAUAUGUCAUGUAGCGGUGAAAUGCUUAGAUAUGACAUAGAACACCGAUUGCGAAGGCAGCUCGCUACACAAAUAUUGACGCUGAGGCACGAGAGCGUGGGGAUCAAACAGGAUUAGAUACCCUGGUAGUCCACGCCCUAAACUAUGGAUACUCGACAUUUGCGAUACACAGUAAGUGUCUGAGCGAAAGCAUUAAGUAUCCCACCUGGGAAGUUACGACCGCAAGGUUGAAACUUCAAAGGAAUUGACGG